AAGACCGGAAGAGGUGCGUUGUUCAGGUAACUAAUACGAGAAGACUAAGCUUCAUUUGAGUGUUAGCCAGGGGGAUAUACGCCGAGAAAUUGCUGUACUUAGUUAUCAAGUAAUUUCGGUCAGAUUGGUUGAAUCUAACUGACUGUCACCAGAAUCGGUGGAGAGCUUUCGGCCCA
rnacentral:ncRNA from 2 species